UACGUAGGGUGCAAGCGUUAAUCGGAAUUACUGGGCGUAAAGCGUGCGCAGGCGGCUUUGCAAGACAGAUGUGAAAUCCCCGGGCUUAACCUGGGAACUGCAUUUGUGACUGCAUGGCUAGAGUGCGGGAGAGGGAUGUGGAAUUCCAGGUGUAGCGGUGAAAUGCGUAGAUAUCUGGAGGAACACCGGUGGCGAAGGCGGCAUCCUGGACCGACACUGACGCUGAGGCGCGAAAGCUAGGGUAGCAAACGGG
rnacentral:rRNA from 1 species